UUCCUUUUUUUUUUAUAUGUAUACUACUUUCAACUAAUUGGGAAAAAUAAAUAAAUAAAAGAAUGGUGUCAACCAUAUGUCAAACAAAUAACUCUAAUUAAUUAUUGUACUUAUUGGAUAAGUACUAAUUUGAAAAUUAAUUUCAUAACAAAACCAAAAGCAUUUAAAAAAAAAAAAAAGAGUACCGUAUUUACAUAUUAUAUUAUUUUUGUAUAGUUACUAAUCGGGUAAUUUAUAAAUUACAAGAAUAUCCGGUUCUUGAAGCUCAGGAAGAACGGUCCAUCAAACAGGAAGUAUAAACUACGGUUGAGGUACGAAGAAAAUCAUGGGAUUCCUUAGAGUGAGGAUGCAACCAUCAAAUUCGCGAUCGAUGUUUAGUAAAGAUAACUAUGUCUCACUAGUAAUAAUGGAUGUAUUAACUAACUCUAAGUUUAAUUUCAAGUAUUGAGUUAGAUUUUAAUAUUAAUGUUUAAUCAAUGCUAGAAGUAUUUAUUAAA